rnacentral:rRNA from 1 species
GACGUAGGGCGCGAGCGUUGUCCGGAUUUAUUGGGCGUAAAGAGCUCGUAGGCGGCUUGUCGCGUCGGACUGUGAAAACCCGCGGCUCAACUGCGGGCUUGCAGUCGAUACGGGCAGGCUAGAGUUCGGUAGGGGAGACGUGGAAUUCCUGGAUGUAGCGGUGAAAGUGCGCAGAUAUCAGGAAGAACACCCGUGGCGAAGGCGGCUCUCUGGAACGCAACUGGACGCUGAAGACGCGAAAGCGUGGGGAGCAAACAGG